rnacentral:rRNA from 1 species
UCAUGAAAGCCGGUUGUACCCGAAGUCCACUCUGUUAACUCGCAAGAGAGACAGUGGCCGAAGGUAUGGCUGGUGAUUGGGAUG